rnacentral:rRNA from 1 species
AUUGAACGCUGGCGGCAGGCCUAACACAUGCAAGUCGAACGAGUGGCGGACGGGUGAGUAAUGUCUGGGCAACUGCCUGAUGGAGGGGGAUAACUCCUGGAAACGGUAGCUAAUACUGCAUACAAUCCGAUGUGACCAGAUGGGAUUAGCUUGUUGGUGGGGUAACGGCUCACCAAGGACACGAUCCCUAGCUGGUCUGCGAGGAUGACCGGCCACACUGGAACUGAGCAACGGUCCAGACUCCUACGGGAGGCAGCAGUGGGGAAUAUUGCACAAUGGGCGCAAGCCUGAUGCAGCCAUGCCGCGUGUAUGAAGAAGGCCUUCGGGUUGUAAAGUACUUUCAGCGGGGAGGCGUUACCCGCAGAAGAAGCACCGGCUAACUCCGUGCCAGCAGCCGCGGUAAUUC